CCGGGUUGCGGACAGUGUCUGGUGGGUAGUUUGACUGGGGCGGUCUCCUCCCAAAGAGUAACGGAGGAGCACGAAGGUUGGCUAAUCCUGGUCGGACAUCAGGAGGUUAGUGCAAUGGCAUAAGCCAGCUUGACUGCGAGCGUGACGGCGCGAGCAGGUGCGAAAGCAGGUCAUAGUGAUCCGGUGGUUCUGAAUGGAAGGGCCAUCGCUCAACGGAUAAAAGGUACUCCGGGGAUAACAGGCUGAUACCGCCCAAGAGUUCAUAUCGACGGCGGUGUUUGGCACCUCGAUGUCGGCUCAUCACAUCCUGGGGCUGAAGUAGGUCCCAAGGGUAUGGCUGUUCGCCAUUUAAAGUGGUACGCGAGCUGGGUUUAGAACGUCGUGAGACAGUUCGGUCCCUAUCUGCCGUGGGCGCUGGAGAAUUGAGGGGGGCUGCUCCUAGUACGAGAGGACCGGAGUGGACGCAUCACUGGUGUUCGGGUUGUCAUGCCAAUGGCACUGCCCGGUAGCUAAAUGCGGAAGAGAUAAGUGCUGAAAGCAUCUAAGCACGAAACUUGCCCCGAGAUGAGUUCUCCCUGAGACUUUAAGUCUCCUGAAGGAACGUUAAAGACGAUGACGUUGAUAGGUCGGGUGUGUAAGCGCAGCGAUGCGUUGAGCUAACCGAUACUAAUGAACCGUGAGGCUUAACCUU
rnacentral:rRNA from 1 species